CCUAAAUCAAUUCUAUAGUGUUAAAGAAAUCACACUAGAAGUCACAGUACAAGACAGAUAAAUCUACUUUUAAUUUUCACAUGUAAAAGUUACACAUCACAUGAAAUUGGACAGGAGCUUAGUGGUAACUGACAUCGCUAUAGUGAAAAUCAUUUUUAUAAAAAAAUAAUCUAGAUGUGGUCAUCAGAAUUUUUGGUCUACGUAAGUUAUGUUUGAAGAUCGACUUUUAUCCCUGCUUGAAGGAUUUUCCAUUAUGCUUUUAUUUUUCUUCUUCUACUGAUGCCUAUUAAUAUUCUUUGGAGGAAGGAGGGCAGAAAAUGUCCGUUUCCAAGAGUUUGUCCUUUGGUAGCAAGCAGAGAACAUUUUUCAUUUCUAUGACUUAAAUAAUCUGUACAGAUAUGAAACUUCAUGACAUUAUGCUUUAGUGUAAAAUGAAGAACGACAAGCAUUUCCACUUUGAUAAGAGCAGAUUCUGUAGACUCCUUAAAGAGCCAAGCAUUUCUCCAUCCUAUAUGCAAAAUCACUCAGAAUCUAUUUUUUGACCUCAAUUCAAAAAGAAAAAAAAAACACACACUUAAUUUUUUAUAUAUAUUACACUAUAAAACCCUGCACUUAAAAACAGAUAGCGUAUGUUUUCAAUAUGUACACUUCCAAUACAAAGGUUUUCAUCUAGGUUAAAGAAAACACAUCUGAAUGGACUCAGGAGUUUAUUCUGUGAUUAAACAUCUCAUGCACUCAUGCAAGACCAGUACCUAGAGCUGUUACUUCCAAGCCUCAGAUACUGCAUACUGGGCAAAACAAAAAACAAAUCAACAGCCUGGCCAAACAGAAAACACAUCGAGAUAUUAAGAGCUCUGCAAGGGAGCUGAAAAAUAAUUUUUCCAAAAGAAAUAUUCCCAUAGAUUAAAAAAACACACACAUAAUAUUUACAAAAAAUAUUUAAUUAAAAAUAUCUUAUAAUUACAGUAGUCUAUUAAAGCGCAUAUACUUUCUCACACUUUAUAGAACAUCUCUAUAUAUACAGGGUAUGAAAUGUCACUCACUUAUCUAUACAAUAUGUAACAUUCUCGCAGAGAAAAAGUUCCCUGCCCUGUUAUAAUCAUCUAUUUUAAACAAUAGAUGUAAAACAACGUAUCUACAAUGCUCUGGUAUAUUAGUAAAGCUUCAAAAACAAAACAGUUCCCUUGUCACAAUGUAGCCUCUACAGUUGGAUUCACUAUUGGUCUUCUACUUAGCAGUCCUGUCCUGUCACACUUAAGCUUCCAAGUUUAACUACACCUCCAAAAGGGUGAUAAAAAUAACCACAGAAAUGUACAAUUCACAGCGGUUAUGAAAGAAACAAAAGAGAAUACGUACGGAGAAAGCUUGUGAACGUGCAAAAAAUUAAAAGUGAAUGAAAGUUUUAUUUUUUUUUUCCUCUCUCUCUCAUUCUCGGAAUGACGAGACGAGACAACGUUUCUAGAUUUGCUGAAGGUUGGUUGUUUUUCCCCCUUUCCUCCGGUGUCUUUUUUCUCUUAUUUUCUGCUCUGGCCCUCCCUUUCUAGGGCUCCUGGCUCGCUCGUGCUCGGGCGGCAGCACACCUGUGGAAGAGGAAUGAAUAGAGGGGGUGUGUGAACCAGCUCGCUGCAGACUAACUGGCGCCACCGACCAAACUCAAGACACGCAUGAUCAACAACCCAAAACAAACCGCCGGGUCAGACAACACCCGCAGCCCGCAGCUCAGCCAAGAGCCGAGGAGGCAAAUGCGGGCUGGGAAAGGCCAGGGGAUGCAUUCCGGGGGCGAUCUGCCCGCAUCUCUUUUUGUGGGUGUCAGGCCACUUUGCUGGGGAGGAGGGGUAGGCAGGAGGGCUGGGAGAACUCGGGACACCGGGGCAUUCCACGCCCACGAGGGUGCCCUCCCUCAGAGGUAGAGGGGACCAGCCGAGCCUGUGGGUCACAGCCGAGAGCAACGCGGGGCGGCGGGGACCGCAACUGAGAGGAGCCUCGGCAGUGACCCCCCGAGUUGGAAAGUGCGGACUGCCUCACUGAGUGGCAGAGGAGGUGUGGGUGUCCACGGGAUUUACACUCGGAAAUGCUGGCAGACAAAGAUCGCCG
ensembl:lncRNA